GGGUCUCUAGCUUAGUGGUAAAGCUGCCAGCUCAUAACUGGUAAGAGAGGGGGUUCGAAUCCCUUGGGACCCA
rnacentral:tRNA from 1 species